rnacentral:tRNA from 1 species
GAGAAUUAUGCCAGUGAAAAAGCUUCUAACUUAUUUCCUGAGCGGUUAAACUCCGUUCAUUUCUCU